UACGUAGGGGGCAAGCGUUGUCCGGAUUUAUUGGGCGUAAAGAGCGUGUAGGCGGUUAUGCAGGUCCGCUGUGAAAACUGGAGGCUUAACCUCCAGACGUCGGUGGAAACCGUAUGACUAGAGUCCGGAAGAGGAGAGUGGAAUUCCUGGUGUAGCGGUGAAAUGCGCAGAUAUCAGGAAGAACACCCGUGGCGAAGGCGGCUCUCUGGGACGGUACUGACGCUGAGGCGCGAAAGCCAGGGGAGCAAACAGG
rnacentral:rRNA from 1 species